CCUCCUUACCUUAAGAUGUCGAAGUUGUUGAGUGUUCACACAGAUUGCCUUGAUUCAAAGUAGUUAGAGCAAAGACCUGAUGCGCAAGCGUCAGUGCUUGUUUGGUGAAAGCCAAACGAGAGAAGCCCUUUUGUUGGGUGUCGGGACGUGAAUAGCGGCGCAAGCAGCUACCCGGUUAUCUGCGCGCGAGCGCAAAGACAAAUCCGGGUCCCCUUCGUCUAGAGGCCUAGGACACCGCCCUUUCACGGCGGUAACAGGGGUUCGAAUCCCCUAGGGGACGCCACUUCUCUUCUUGCUAACAAGAAUGCAGACAUAAGCAUUACAUGUUUAUGUCUGUUUUCUUCGGCCUUGAGUCGUUGCAAACAUGCUCUUUAACAAUCUGGAAAGCUGAUUUAAAAAGUAGUUCUCAAACAUUUGUUACAAGUGCUUUGGAAACUUAUUGGCGAAAACCAAAAUUUAUUUUGGUCCUUGUUGUACUUCAACAAGACGCGUCGUUUCAACGACACUUCUUGGGGUUGUAU
rnacentral:tRNA from 1 species